rnacentral:rRNA from 1 species
AUUGAACGCUGGCGGCAGGCCUAACACAUGCAAGUCGAGCGAGCGGCGGACGGGGGAGUAAUGUAUGGGGACUGCCCGAUAGAGGGGGAUAACUACUGGAAACGGUAGCUAAUACCGCAUACUAUCGGAUAACCCAUAUGGGAUUAGCUAGUAGGUGAGGUAAUGGCUCCCCUAUGCGACGAUCCCUCGCUGGUCUGAGAGGAUGAUCAGCCACUCUGGGACGGAGACACGGCCCAGUCUCCUACGGGGUCAGCAGUGGGGAAUAUUUCACAAUGGGCGUAAGCUUGAUGCAGCCAUGCCGCGUGUAUGAAGAAGGCCCUAGGCUUGUAAAGUACUUUCAGUCGGGAUGCGUUACCGACAGAAGAAGCACCGGCUAACUCCGUGCCAGCAGCCGCGGUAAUU